GGCGACAUGGCCGAGUGAUAAGGCCGGGGACUGGAAAUCCUUUUUCCCAGUUCAAAUCUGGAUGUCGCCU